rnacentral:rRNA from 1 species
UACGGAGGGUGCAAGCGUUAAUCGGAAUUACUGGGCGUAAAGCGCGUGUAGGCGGUUCGGUAAGUCCGCUGUGAAAGUCGGGGGCUCAACCCUCGGAUGCCGGUGGAUACUGUCGAGCUUGAGUACGGAAGAGGCGAGUGGAAUUCCUGGUGGUAGCGGUGAAAUGCGCAGAUAUCAGGAGGAACACCAAUUGCGAAGGCAGCUCGCUGGGACGUUACUGACGCUGAGGAGCGAAAGUGUGGGGAGCG